GUGGUUACCUGGGAGGGGAGAUGACAUCAUGAAGGUUGUUUUACCAGGGUGAGGUUUCUCUAUUGCACUCCAGAUGUACUGACCCUUGCGAUUUCCCUAAAUGUGGGAAACUUGACUGCAUAAUUUGUGGUAGUGGGGGACGGCGUUAGUGCUUUCCGCUG
ensembl:snRNA U1 U1 spliceosomal RNA